rnacentral:rRNA from 1 species
CCUACGGGUGGCUGCAGUGAGGAAUAUUGGUCAAUGGCCGGAAGGCUGAACCAGCCAAGUCGCGUGAGGGAAUAAGGCCCUAUGGGUCGUAAACCUCUUUUGUCAGGGAGCAAAGGCGUCCACGAGUGGACGACAGGAGAGUACCUGAAGACAAAGCCUCGGCUAACUCCGUGCCAGCAGCCGCGGUAAUACGGAGGCUGCGAGCGUUAUCCGGAUUUAUUGGGUUUAAAGGGUUCGUAGGCGGAGUGUCAAGUCAGCGGUAAAAUUUCGGGGCUCAACCCCGUCGUGCCGUUGAAACUGACACCCGUGAGUGAGUGAGAAGUAAGCGGAAUGCGUGGUGUAGCGGUGAAAUGCAUAGAUAGCACGCAGAACGCCGAUUGCGAAGGCAGCGUACCGGCGCGCAACUGACGCUGAGGCACGAAAGUGCGGGUAUCGAACAGGAUUAGAUACCCGGGUAGUC